rnacentral:lncRNA from 1 species
CCAAUGGACCCCAAAGGAAACCAUCCUACUCUUGGCUGUCUCUCAGCAGUCAGGGAUGAAUUUAGAGUGACAUCUUCCAGGACAAGAAAAGUGCAUAGGGAGCUUCUGCAAAGUUACUGCAAUUGUGCAUGCCUCCAGUAGCUUGUAUGGGUGAAAUCUUAAAUAUAUCUGGAGAGUAAUUAUUCAGAACAAUUUUCUUUCUAUGAAUGGAGUGUGCAGGUGUGCGACAUCCUGUUCUGAUGUGACUAGCCAAGUACAAAUGCCUCUUGUGAAAUUCACCCUCCACUGUAGCGACUGUAAAUCUGACUACCUGAAAAAAAAGGCAGUCAUGCUUCUGAAACUCAAGCAAACAAUGCCAGUGGAGUACUUCAUAACGUAUUUUCCCCCCUCCGCAUCAGGACAAAGGCUUUCAUGAAGUACAAAGAAGAGGUGUGUGCGAGAGCUAAGUUGUCUCUAUUGUUUUAUAACAAGGCCUCUCUUUUUUGUACUUCAGCCCUGUGUCCAUUAAAUGCAAUUUAGUGGGAUCAUCAGAGCUUGAAAGGGCAGAUCAAACAGCACUAAGAAUCCCAGCUGUGCAGGCCCCAGUUUGGAGUGAACAUUAACCUCAGCAUUCAGUAAUAAUUUAUUCUACUCUAGAUAGGAAGAGGCUUUUAUUUGUUCCUGCAUGUUGGUCCCAUUGUUUGUUUGUGUUGCUUUUUUUCUUCCUGAAACAGUCACAAAAGUAUAUAAUAUGUAAUAAAUUAGAGAUUUUUUUACAUAUACAUGUGCAUACGUUUAUAUACAUGGCAUAGAUAUUUAUAUAUAUCUCUCACAAAUAAUUUCAGAUGUGCCCAGAGCUGGAGUGACAUCUCAGAAACCCUUCCAGAGCAGAAGACUAUUUCCAGUCUCAUCAUUUUACACUGCCUGUGCCGAAAGGAAAGAAACCUUGGCAAACACAAUGACUCCACAGGUCGGUCACCCAGGUCCAGCACCAUCUUUUCAUCCCAUCCAGCUUUCCAUCCGGAAAAAAAAAAAAAAAAAUCUUUCUUCAGAAAUUGUAUUCCUCUGUACCUCAUGCCUUUGAAUACAUCAUCUCCAACAACUGUGAUAGGAAAGUUCAGUGUGAAGGCUGCAGAACUUAGCAAUAGGCUUGUGUGAAGUGCAAGCCACACGUUCAUUGCUGGCCUGUGUUUCAUCACUGAUUUAUGCAGAGAUGUACGUAAACUACACUUACUACUGAGGAACUUCUCCAAUUGUAAUUGGAAUCAGCAAGACGCCUUGAAGGAUUGGGUAUGGGCAAGUCUUCUGAGAAGGUGUUUUUGCUAAAGAAAAAAAUUAACAUGGCAAACUGGCAUCCAAGUAAAAUAUGAACCGUGUAGCAUUUUAUUUCCGAAGUCACACAUUUCAUGCUGCCUACCAGCUUUUAAAGGUCAAACAUGUAAACUUAAGAAGUGUGUGUGAGUGUAUACUAGUUGCAAAGCUCUUUUUUUGUCAGUUCUAUGAAGCAAUAACCCAUGAAAUAUAGUUGAUAUCUCAUGGGUACAGUUCUCCAUGCCUGCAAACAUUUAAAAUUGCACUUGUGGUACAUAAAAGAUUUAUAAUGAUCUCACCCACAAAUAUAAAUUUUAUCCCACAUAGGAGAAAAAGACCUAGAAGCAGAAGCAGUGAACAGCUGAAUAUGAGCACAGUGUCAUAAAUUCAUAACACUUACAGCUUUUUAACAACCAGUCAUAAAUGUGACUGAUUUCAAUUUAAUUUAUGAGAGUUUGCGAUAGAACCAGGAUUACCUUCUCAAAACUGAGCUUUCAAACACACUGGGUACAAUUAUGGCCUUACUAGCAUGUCAGCUAAGGCAAAUGGGGUGGGGAUGACCAUCUGGAAGGUCCCCCAGCCACACUGCAUGUGCAGGUUCAGACAAGUGGAGCUGAAAGGUCUCCACCAAAUUGUAGCAGAGAUCCUACUACUGCUCCAAGUCAAGCAGCACAUUCCUUCACUACACAAGGCACCACUAAAGGGCACGUUAACAGGGGCUGGGCAGCUUGCCAUCACCAAAACUAGCAUUACUCAUAUGGGUACAGCUGGGCAAUGGAUGACCAAGACACAACAUGGUAGAGCCAUGACUACUUCUUGUGCAGGUUAGAAUCAGAUUCACCUCACCUCCAUCGCUCCUUCAUCCAUCCUAUAAAAUGACACAACUUAGACCUGGUAGUAGUUUACACAUAUUUAGAAAGUUUUGUCUGGACUGGAAUUUUUAGUGGCAGUUAUUUGAAAGGAAAGGGUAGUUGGGAAGGGACCAGAAGAUAGGAAACAGCACCAACCAAGAGAACAGGGGUUGAAAGAAGUGAGACAUGCUUGUUCAAACAUGCUCUCUCAGCCAUCACUGGAAGAGUUGAAAGUGCCGUAAAAGAAAAACCUCUGCUUUCCAUAAUGCAAUGUUGCCUUUCUCCCACUAUUGUAUUGUUUCAGUCCAGUAUCUCUUAAAAAUAAAAAAUCUGAUUUUCAGCUACA